rnacentral:lncRNA from 1 species
UUAGACAAUGAGCAGAGAGGACCUGGGUUUCCAGGGCAACAGGGAGGGAGAACCACAGGGCACAGGGGAGCUGAGAGAUGAGGGGAGAUGUAAUGGUGAUGGAAGAACUGGAAGGAGGAAAACUAAAAUUAAAAAAUGAUUUGGCUCCACUGAAUGGGCUGCUAUUGCUGAAAAGCAACACAAAUUCUACACGGAGGCAAGCCUUCUGCAGGAGUAACCUGUUCCCCUUGGGGCACCAGGGAGCAGAAGAUUGGUGUCAUCAAUAA